rnacentral:rRNA from 1 species
AUUGAACGCUGGCGGCAGGCCUAACACAUGCAAGUUGAACGAGUGGCGGACGGGUGAGUCAUGUCUGGGAAACUGCCUGAUGGAGGGGGAUAACUACUGGAAACGGUAGCUAAUACCGCAUACCAUCAGAUGUGCCCAGAUGUGAUUAGCAAGCUGGUGGGGUAACGGCUAACCAAGGCGACGAUCCCUAGCUGGUCUGAGAGGGUGACCAGGAACGCGAGAACUAGGACACGGUCCAGAAUCCUACGAGCGGCAGCAGUGAGGAAUAUUGCACAUUAAGCGCAAACAUGAUGCAGCAAUGCCGCGUGUAUGAAGAAGGCCUUCGGGUUGUGAAGUACUUUUAGCGGGGAGACGUUACCCGCAGGAGAAGCUCCGGCUAACUCCGUGCCAGCGGCCGCGGUAAUUC